GACACGGCCCGAACUCCUACGGGAGGCAGCAGUGGGGAAUAUUGGACAAUGGGGGCAACCCUGAUCCAGCCAUGCCGCGUGUGUGAAGAAGGCUUUCGGGUUGUAAAGCACUUUCAGUGAGGAGGAAAAGUUAGUCCUUAAUACGGGCUAGCCUUGACGUUACUCACAGAAGAAGCACCGGCUAACUCCGUGCCAGCAGCCGCGGUAAUACGGAGGGAGCAAGCGUUAAUCGGAAUUACUGGGCGUAAAGCGCGCGUAGGUGGUUUGAUAAGCGAGAUGUGAAAGCCCCGGGCUUAACCUGGGAACGGCAUUUCGAACUGUCAGGCUAGAGUGUGGUAGAGGGUAGUGGAAUUUCCUGUGUAGCGGUGAAAUGCGUAGAUAUAGGAAGGAACACCAGUGGCGAAGGCGGCUACCUGGACCAACACUGACACUGAGGUGCGAAAGCGUGGGGAGCAAACAGGAUUAGAUACCCUGGUAGUCCACGCCGUAAACGAUGUCAACUAGCCGUUGGGGAUCUUGAAUCCUUAGUGGCGCAGCUAACGCACUAAGUUGACCGCCUGGGGAGUACGGCCGCAAGGUUAAAACUCAAAUGAAUUGACGGGGGCCCGCACAAGCGGUGGAGCAUGUGGUUUAAUUCGACGCAACGCGAAGAACCUUACCUACACUUGACAUGCAGAGAACUUUCCAGAGAUGGAUUGGUGCCUUCGGGAACUCUGACACAGGUGCUGCAUGGCCGUCGUCAGCUCGUGUCGUGAGAUGUUGGGUUAAGUCCCGCAACGAGCGCAACCCUUGUCCUUAGUUGCCAGCAUUUAGUUGGGCACUCUAAGGAGACUGCCGGUGACAAACCGGAGGAAGGUGGGGAUGACGUCAGGUCAUCAUGGCCCUUACGGCCAGGGCUACACACGUGCUACAAUGGUGCGCACAGAGGGCUGCAAACCCGCGAGGGGGAGCUAAUCUCACAAAACGCAUCGUAGUCCGGAUCGGAGUCUGCAACUCGACUCCGUGAAGUCGGAAUCGCUAGUAAUCGUGAAUCAGAAUGUCACGGUGAAUACGUUCCCGGGCCUUGUACACACCGCCCGUCACACCAUGGGAGUGGAUUGCACCAGAAGUGGUUAGUCUAACCUUCGGGAGGACGAUCACCACGGUGUGGUUCAUGACUGGGGUGAAGUCGUAACAAGGUAGCCGUAGGGGAACCUGCGGCUGGAUCACC
rnacentral:rRNA from 12 species